rnacentral:rRNA from 1 species
GGAUAACCUACCCUUAGGACCGGGAUAACCCUGGGAAACUGGGGAUAAUACUGGAUAGGCAAUUUUUCCUGUAAUGGUUUUUUGUUUAAAUGUUUUUUCGCCUAAGGAUGGGUCUGCGGCCGAUUAGGUAGUUGGUUAGGUAAUGGCUUACCAAGCCGUUGAUCGGUACGGGUUGUGAGAGCAAGAGCCCGGAGAUGGAACCUGAGACAAGGUUCCAGGCCCUACGGGGUGCAGCAGGCGCGAAACCUCCGCAAUGUGAGAAAUCGCGACGGGGGGAUCCCAAGUGCCAUUCUUAACGGGAUGGCUUUUCUUAAGUGUAAAGAGCUUUUGGAAUAAGGGCUGGGCAAGACCGGUGCCAGCCGCCGCGGUAACACCGGCAGCUCUAGUGGUAGCAGUUUUUAUUGGGCCUAAAGCGUCCGUAGCCGGUUUAAUAAGUCUCUGGUGAAAUCCUGUAGCUUAACUGUGGGAAUUGCUGGAGAUACUAUUAGACUUGAGACCGGGAGAGGUUGGAGGUACUCCCAGGGUAGAGGUGAAAUUCUGUAAUCCUGGGAGGACCGCCUGUUGCGAAGGCGUCCAACUGGAACGGUUCUGACGGUGAGGGACGAAAGUUAGGGGCGCGAACCGGAUUAGAUACCCGGGUAGUCCUAACUGUAAACGAUGCGGACUUGGUGUUGGGGUGGCUUUGAGCUGUCCCAGUGCCGAAAGGGAAGCUGUUAAGUCCGCCGCCUGGGAAGUACGGUCGCAAGACUGAAACUUAA